UCGGUUUUCAUCCGACGGUCAUUAAAAGGGAACGGGGUGAGAAUCCCCGACAGUCCCGCUGCUGUAAGCUCCUGCAAUAUAAUUGCCGGCAAUCUCCGCCACUGGAUAUUUAUAUCCGGGAAGGCGUCGGUAAUUGGAGUAAGUCAGAAGACCUGCCUUUC
rnacentral:ncRNA from 1 species